rnacentral:rRNA from 2 species
GGGUUUCGGCUCGUAAAGCUCUGUUAUGAGGGAAGAACACGUACCGUUCGAAUAGGGCGGUACCUUGACGGUACCUCAUCAGAAAGCCACGGCUAACUACGUGCCAGCAGCCGCGGUAAUACGUAGGUGGCAAGCGUUGUCCGGAAUUAUUGGGCGUAAAGCGCGCGCAGGCGGCCUUUUAAGUCUGAUGUGAAAUCUUGCGGCUCAACCGCAAGCGGCCAUUGGAAACUGGGAGGCUUGAGUACAGAAGAGGAGAGUGGAAUUCCACGUGUAGCGGUGAAAUGCGUAGAUAUGUGGAGGAACACCAGUGGCGAAGGCGACUCUCUGGUCUGUAACUGACGCUGAGGCGCGAAAGCGUGGGGAGCAAACAGGAUUAGAUACCCUGGUAGUCCACGCCGUAAACGAUGAGUGCUAGGUGUUAGGGGUUUCGAUGCCCGUAGUGCCGAAGUUAACACAUUAAGCACUCCGCCUGGGGAGUACGGCCGCAAGGCUGAAACUCAAAGGAAUUGACGGGGGCCCGCACAAGCAGUGGAGCAUGUGGUUUAAUUCGAAGCAACGCGAAGAACCUUACCAGGUCUUGACAUCCUUUGACCACUCUGGAGACAGAGCUUCCCCUUCGGGGGCAAAGUGACAGGUGGUGCAUGGUUGUCGUCAGCUCGUGUCGUGAGAUGUUGGGUUAAGUCCCGCAACGAGCGCAACCCUUGACCUUAGUUGCCAGCAUUUAGUUGGGCACUCUAAGGUGACUGCCGGUGACAAACCGGAGGAAGGUGGGGAUGACGUCAAAUCAUCAUGCCCCUUAUGACCUGGGCUACACACGUGCUACAAUGGAUGGUACAAAGGGUUGCGAAGCCGCGAGGUGAAGCCA